rnacentral:rRNA from 1 species
GACAGAGGCCCCAAGCGUUAGGCGGAAUCACUGGGCUUAAAGCGUGUGUAGGCGGAUCGUUAAGUGUCUUGUGAAAUCCCACGGCUCACCCGUGGAACUGCUGGGCAUACUGGCGAUCUUGGGCCAACUAGGGGCAGCCGGAACAAGCGGUGGAGCGGUGAAAUGCGUAGAUAUCGUAAGGAAGACCAGUGGCGAAGGCGGGUCUCUGGACAGUUCCUGACGCUGAGGCACGAAGGCCAGGGGAGCAAACGGG